UGGAAUUACCAGCUGUCCCAGUUUUCCAGGAACUAAGGGGCUUCCCAGAAUUCAGGGUUUUGGGUGCAGUUUGAGGACAGUUUGAGGAAAACUGAAAUAGUUGGUCAUCCCCUCACUCA
rnacentral:miRNA from 1 species